rnacentral:rRNA from 1 species
GAACGCCGGGUAGCAAUACCUGGAGUGGCGCACGGGUGCGUAACGCGUAACCAACCUACCUACAACUGGGGGAUAGCCCGCCGAAAGGCGGAUUAAUACCGCAUAUACCAGCAGCCCGGCAUCGGGGAAUUGGGAAAGAUUUAUUGGUUGUAGAUGGGGUUGCGUGCCAUUAGCUAGUUGGCGGGGUAACGGCCCACCAAGGCGACGAUGGCUAGGGGACCUGAGAGGGUGAUCCCCCACACUGGCACUGAGAUACGGGCCAGACUCCUACGGGAGGCAGCAGUAGGGAAUAUUGGGCAAUGGGCGAGAGCCUGACCCAGCCAUGCCGCGUGCAGGAUGAAGGCCUUCUGGGUUGUAAACUGCUUUUCUCAGGGAAGAAAAAGGGGAUGCGUCCCAAACUGACGGUACCUGAGGAAUAAGCACCGGCUAACUCCGUGCCAGCAGCCGCGGUAAUACGGAGGGUGCAAGCGUUGUCCGGAUUUAUUGGGUUUAAAGGGUGCGUAGGUGGCCCGUUAAGUCCGGGGUGAAAGCCUCUUGCUCAACAAGAGAACUGCCCUGGAUACUGGCGGGCUUGAGUCCAGACGAGGUUGGCGGAAUGGAUGGUGUAGCGGUGAAAUGCAUAGAUACCAUCCAGAACCCCGAUUGCGUAGGCAGCUGACUAGGCUGGUACUGACACUGAGGCACGAAAGCGUGGGGAGCGAACAGGAUUAGAUACCCUGGUAGUCCACGCCGUAAACGAUGGAUACUCGUUGCUAGCGAUACACCGUUAGUGACUUAGCGAAAGCGUUAAGUAUCCCACCUGGGGAGUACGCUCGCAAGAGUG